rnacentral:rRNA from 1 species
UGGGGAAUAUUGGACAAUGGGCGAAAGCCUGAUCCAGCCAUGCCGCGUGUGUGAAGAAGGUCUUCGGAUUGUAAAGCACUUUAAGUUGGGAGGAAGGGCAGUAAGCUAAUACCUUGCUGUUUUGACGUUACCGACAGAAUAAGCACCGGCUAACUCUGUGCCAGCAGCCGCGGUAAUACAGAGGGUGCAAGCGUUAAUCGGAAUUACUGGGCGUAAAGCGCGCGUAGGUGGUUUGUUAAGUUGGAUGUGAAAGCCCCGGGCUCAACCUGGGAACUGCAUCCAAAACUGGCAAGCUAGAGUACGGAAGAGGGUGGUGGAAUUUCCUGUGUAGCGGUGAAAUGCGUAGAUAUAGGAAGGAACACCAGUGGCGAAGGCGACCACCUGGACUAAUACUGACACUGAGGUGCGAAAGCGUGGGGAGCAAACA